AAUCCCCAAAUCGAGCAGGCAGCCAGCGCCCAGCAAGACUAACCUAGCGGCCGCCGGCUCGCUGCCACAGAGCUCAGCCUCACCGGAACGCCAGCCACCGUCCUCCGGCCGCCGGGCACCUGAUCCAGAUCUGCCGUUCGUGGAUGGGCGAACCAAAAGAAGAUGUCCCGUGUGUGGGAGGAGGCAACGGCGGCAGAGCAUCUAGCUCAUGCAAACGCGCAGCUACAGUUUGCAAAAUCAGCAGGCGCAAUCAGCAGGUAGUCCAACUCCAAUCCAUUUCCUUCUGAUGUUGAUCUUCAAUGUCUAGCCAACUAUAAAUUGCUGCUUAUUUUGGAACCCACCUAACUACUGAAUCCCAAGCUCUUUUUCCUGUUCAUGAAACUGAUGCAAACAUUUCAUCCAAUGAAACCUCUGAUUCAAACAUUGUACAAGAUCUUGCUCAUGAACCUGAAGUAUCUAAUCAGGGAUCUCAUGAUAACACUUUGCAAACUUCUAUUCUAAUUCAACCUGAUCCAGGACUCCGAAAACAAAUUUGUGAUUAUUCUACUGCCGAAAUCAGAUAUGCAGCGAGGACGGAAUAUUUGAAGAAAGGCCCAUGUCAGCCGUAUGGUCAUGAUUUCCCUUGCAACAUGUUCAUGUUGGAUUUUGUGAUUUUUGGUGGUCACAUCACCUAGUUGUCGAGAAUCUUGAACUGUUCUAAAUCAUUGGUUAUGUUAAUUUUCGAGUGCAUCUAGCUUUAUAGUUGAAUUUAUGAGAUUUGGUUCAACGGACUUGCAUUUGUCAAUCAAAAAAUUUGCACCUCAAUUGUUCCGCCCCGGCUAAGUUCAAUUCCUGGAUCCGCCACUGAAUGUAGUGAAGCAAACAAUGUUCUCGUUCCUUGAUCUCAGGUUCCCAUCUCCAUUCACCAAAGCUUGACAUCUUUGAGCCUGAGAAGGAAAAAAUAAAUGAAACUGCUAUCCUUGUACAACCUGUAGGGGAUGAGAUGCAUUUGGGGAAGUAAUUCAACUUCCACAAGAACAUAGAUCGCAUUGCUAUGUCC
rnacentral:lncRNA from 1 species